GACAGAGGGGGCAAGCGUUGCUCGGAAUUACUGGGCGUAAAGGGCGCGUAGGCGGGAUGGCAAGUCGGUCGUGAAAUCCCUCGGCUCAACCGAGGAACGUCGAUCGAUACUGCUGUUCUUGAGGAUUGCAGAGGAGACUGGAAUUCCCGGUGUAGCGGUGAAAUGUGUAGAGAUCGGGAGGAACACCCGUAGCGAAGGCGGCACUCUGGGCCGGUACUGACGCUGAGGAGCGAAAGCGUGGGGAGCAAACAGG
rnacentral:rRNA from 1 species